UACGGCCGCAUCACAUCGAAACACCGAUCUCCGUACAAUCACUGAAGUUAAGCAACGUCGAGCCUGGUUAGUAGUUAGAUGGGUGAUCGCUUGGGAAUAUCGUGUACUGUAAU